rnacentral:rRNA from 1 species
GGAUGCGAUCAUACCAGCACUAAAGCACCGGAUCCAUCAGAACUCCGCAGUUAAGCGUGCUUGGCGAGAGUAGUACUAGGAUGGGUGACCCCUGGGAAGUCCUCGUGUUGCAUCCC